GUUGGCCUAUGCAAAGAGGAGCAGGGUGGGGGAGGAGGAGAGGAAAAAAAAGAGCUAUGGCUAGAGGCAGUAUGGACUUGAGGCACAGCUGAGUGAUGAGGAGUGGGAGAUGCUGAGCAGGCUCACACACACAAGGGCUGCACUUGUUGACUCUCCCUGAUUGUGGAGAAAGACAAACCUUAGAAGGGAACAUAUUUUCUUCCUCUCCCGCCUAUGUGUGAGCACCAUGAAACUAUGCAAUCAGUGUCAUCUUCCAGAAGAAAUCUGUUAGCAAGGAAGACAAGUGGAUUUUCUUUGGCCCCAUAAUGAAUUGCUUGGGAUGCUGCAUUCCCACUGCUGAGCCAGGUAGUCAUGUAGGGACAGAGAAAAAGGUGAGAAGUCUGGCUGCCAGAAACCAGCUGCUGGAGCAGGUCCACCUCCUAUACUCAAGAAGCAAGCCCAUUUCUGAGGUACCACCCACGUGUGGAGACCAGCUCUUGUGGGAUGGAAGUGCUUCCAAAAUCCCUCAGUCUUGGUUCAAAGGAGCCUUAAACCAAGGUGACUUCAUACCUGGUGCAACCCAAGGACAAUUCACUCCUGGGAAAAGAACGGACAGUUUGUAUGUUCCCAUCAUCGCCAUCAGUCCACUGGAUGGAAGCUGGGCUGAGUCCUUCCCAAAGGUUGUGCGUGAAGGGCAGCGACUGCAUCCGAGUGGCAGGAGUCUCCGUGCUCAAAGCAGAGAUCAUCUUCCCAGCACCACCUGGCUACUCUGCAAAUUAAUCUUUGGACGCCUGAAGAUGGGCACCCAGAAAAUGAGGUAUGGCCAGUGGCGGUGUGUGACAAAUUUAGAUUAG
rnacentral:lncRNA from 1 species